ACUGUCAUAUUCCCCCUCCUCCUUUUUAUCGAAUCUCUUUCUGUGGUCUGAAUAUGUGUAAGAAAGAUCAAAUAGACAAUCACUUCUUUAGUUGGUGUUGAAUAGUGCAAGGGAGUUGUGCACGUGCUCGUGGGAAUAGUGCUUGGUAUAAAGGUAAGUAAAAGCUGGUGAAAUUAACAAAUAUAUUUGAUUGUAAUUUGUAUUUGUUUUAAUAGAAAACCCUGAUACUAUUUCAACAUAGUAAUGUGUUAUUGCUAUAUUCAAAUUGUAUCAGAUUUGUCUAUCAAAUAAACUAUAAAUUACAAUAAAGAAACAAAAAUAACGGUAAUACAUGAAAAAAACAAGCAACAACAACGUAUAUGCAGCGACAAGCAAAAAUGAGGAGAGAAAUAAUGUGUGAGUGUUUAUUCAUACAUAUGUGUUCUUUUUGUCUUUGCUUGUGGCUGCUACGACGUACAUUAGCGUAUGCAUUUGUCACCAAAUGUACGUUGUUGUUGUUGUUGUUGAAGCGACAGUGUUCGUAUUUAUGUAUAUCUUUUUGUUUUUUCUUCUCAGUUGUUUUUUUUUUCUCUGGUGUCUUUUUUUUUUUUGGGUGCUCGUGCGUACAUUUUUGUUGGUGUUUGGCGUUUUGUAGUUUUUUUCACAAUGGCUGAGGAAUAUAAUUUAAAAUCACUCGGUAAGGCGUUAAAAAAUAAAAUUUAUAUUAAACAUAUAUCUUUCUUUACCAGCCCUCCCUUAAAUAUACAUACAAUUUGUAAUGGAAAUACAUAUUUUAGAAAUAUGCGGUAUUAAUAAAUAAAUAAUAAAUAAACUUGUAAAAAUUA